CAGCUCUCCAGGCUUCCGUUAGCGGAAGCGGGCAAUUGGAGGGACCACGGCGGACAGUGCGCCCCCUACUGGCUGGUCGGCCACUCAGCCGCCAAGCCGCCAAGCCGGCAAGGAAAGCGCAGGACUCUGCAGCUAUUUCAAAUCAAAGGCUGAAUGUUCUCUCUGAUAAGUGGAUGCUGAUCCAUAAUUGGAGAAGGGGGGUGGAUGGAGGAAUUUUGAUGGGGCAAAGGGAGGGAGGAUUGGGGAGGGGGAAAUGGAGGCAGGAAAGACGGUGGGAUGAGAUGGACAUCAUUACCCUAGGUCCAUGUAUGAAUGCACAAAUGGUGCAUCAUGUACAACCAGAAAAAUGAAAAGUUGUGCUGCAAUUGUGUACAAUGAAUCACAAUGCAUUCUGCUGUCAUAUACACCUAAUUAAAAUUAAUUAAUUAAUUAAAAAAUAAAUCAGCAUACUUCAAAAAAAAAAAAAGAAUUUUAAAGCUCUCUAGAAGCACAUGGAGAUACAAGGAAGCCAAAUGAUCAUACAAUAUUGAGAGAGAACAGUGGGGAGUUGACAGGACUCCACAAUGGGCAGGAGGAGUGGUAAGAUACUGCCGUUGAAUUGUAUAGUGCGUUUAUUUUGUUUUAACCCAUUGGUAAAUUCACCAUCCCACGUUGAUUAGCAGGGCUUUAGCUAGAGAAGCCAAGGCUCCACUUCAUGCCCUACUGAUCCAUGCCUUUAUAUUUCUUUGUCCACCAUAGAUCAUGUCCCAGCAGCAACUCUAUCUCUGAGUGUUUUUCUACCACCUCCAACCACUCCAGCCCUGUGUCCAUACACUGCUGCCUGAGAAAUCUUCAGCCACACUCAUGUACUGACAUUUACUCUACGUUCAUAUAGAACAUCCUGUGGAUCUCGCUGAAGAGCUUUGAAAUUAGAGGCAUAGAUUCCUGAAACUCCAAGUGGAAGAGCCUUUGUUCUGAUUACACUAUCUUGUGGAAGGCUUCUGAUGCACAGAACCCAGGGAGAGUGAAAGACCCCAACCAUUCAAAGUCCGAAAGUGAGGGAGCACACCAGGUUGUCCAGAGAUCAGUUUAUUUAGCAGAGGUGGAAGCAUCUGCAGCAGCAGUGGUGUGGUUCUAGGGAUCUAUAUAGCCCCUAAGGGAAAUGUGCCUGGUUACAAUUGGCCAGGUGAUCCUAAGUGCCUGUUCUCAGUUCCCUAUUGGGCUCCUGGGCCGCUGACCAGUCUUUGGUGGGUUCUUUUGGCUGGCUUUUCCUCCUAAUCAGCAGGAAGGAUCGGGAAGCCUAGAGUCCUAGAGGUGGCUGCCAUUGUUGGGCGGUGGCCCAUCCCUGUCCUGACUCUGUGCCCAACAGAGGGCCUGACAACACAGAAGUCAGAGCAAGAAGAUGCUGUGUGGCCCCGCAUUGACUCAGCAGUAGGAGCAAUGGCAGAGCCACUCUGUAGCCACCUGGUGUUUGUUUCUGUUUUGUAUGAUUGGAUCCUGGAGAGUAUCUUUGUCUUCAGCAGUGAAUGGCAUGACCCACUAGACAGUCACACACUGAAGAUGACAUAGGAAGAAACCAGACACACUGAGGGGAGCUCUGCAGAGGCUGCUACUGUGUGAGCUCACAAGUGGAGACAAGAGGAUGGGACAAUCCACGUAUUUCAUUUAAGCAGGCCCCAGAACACUCUCCCAGGGAAUCCAUCACCACUCCAUAGCUGCUCCUCCUGCUGCCAGGCUGAGGCUCCAUAUCUCCUUUAUCCAGACGCAGAGGCUGCAGGUGCUGCUGGCACCAGGGUGUGUGACUCAGAGGGGGCUGCCCACUGUGUCCCUGAUGGAGAUGCCACUGGAGAGGUUCAAUCUCUUACUCUGCAGGGACUGACAACCACUCUGCCUGUCCAACCCCCAACUCAUCAGGGCCAUGGUCAGUGAAUCACUAGGUGUGGAAGGACUGGGAAAACCUGGCCUUCAGAGUCUCCCAGGCUCCUCAUGCAGGCAGGACCACCCACUGCACCCAGAUUUGCAGCCCUGUGGGCAAGCAGUCCUGGCCUCAAGCAAGGACAUUGUGGCUUCAAGGACGAGUGGGACACAUCCCAGUCCUGGAAUCUCUCAGUUGCUGUGAAGCCUCCUAGGACUUGGGACACAUUUCUCAAUCUGAGGAUUGAAGGACGUGGUGUGUCAAGAUAUAUAUCACUUUUUGCACAUAUGCCACAUUCAACCAAGACCAAUACCUAUUCAUUUCAAUGCAGUGCUCAUGUGGAAGAUCAGGAUUGUGGUUACUUAUCUUCCUUUUUCCCCCUUUUGUGACUGAGAAUAAAAUAAUAUAAAUAUAUAGUCAGUUUUUUCUUUGUUUUACUUUUUCUAAUUUUUUCUAAUUAGUUAUGCAUGAGAAUAGAAUGCAUUUUGACACAUGAUUCAUAAAUGGAGUAUAACCUCUCAUUCUUUGGUUUGUAUGUGAUGUAGAAUCAUACUGGUCAUGAAAUCAUAUAUGCACAUAGGGUAAUAAUGUCCAAUUCAUUCUAUUAUUCUUCCUAAACCCAUACCCCUCUUCUCCCUUCACUCCCCUCUGUCUAAAGCAGCCCCCCUUUAUUGUGGCUUAGUAUUUGCAUAUCAGAGAUAAUAUUCACCCUGUGGUUCUCUGGGAUUGGCUUAUUUUGCUUAGCUGAUAUUUUACAGCUCCAUCCAUUUACUGGCAUAAGCCAUAAUUUCAUUCUUCUUUAAGGCUGAGUAAUAUUCCAUUGUGUAUACAUACCACAGUUUCUUUAUCCAUUCAUCAAUUAAAGGGCAUCUAGGUUGCUUCCACAGUUUAGCUAUUGUGAAUUGAACUGCUAUGAACAUUGAAGUGGCUACACUACUAUAGUAUGCUGAUUUUAAGUCCUUUGUGUAUAGACCAAGGAGUGGGAUAGCUGGGUUGAACGGUGGUUCCAUUCCAAGUUUUCUAGGGAAUCUCCAUACUGAUUUCCAGAUUGGUUGUGCCAAUUUGCAGUCCCACCAGCAAUGUAUGAGUGUGCCUUUUCCCCCACAUCCCCGCCAACAGUUAUAUUGUCUGUAUUCUUGAUAACUGCCAUUCUGACUGGCGUGAAAUGAAAUCUUAGAGUAGUCUUAUUUUGCAUUUCUCUAGUUACUAGAGAUGUUGAACAUUUUUUCAUAUAUUUGUUGAUAGAAUGUAUAUCUUUUUUAGAAGUGUCUGUUCAGCUCCUUAGCCCAUUUACUAAUUGGGUUGUUUGUUUUUCUGCUGUUAAGUUUUUUUGAAUUCUUUAUAUAUUCUGGAGAUUAAUGCUCUGAUGAGCCUGUGGUCAAAAUCUGCUCCCUAAAUGUAGGCUCUCUCUUCACCUCAUUGAUUGUUUUUUUUUUUUUUUUUAAGAAUAAACUUUAUAGUUUUGAGUCCAUCCCAUUUAUUAAUUCUUUAUUUUAUUUCUGUGCUUUAGGAGUCUUGUUAAGUAACUCAGGGCCAACUUUGAUGUGAUAAAGAUUUGGGCCUCCUUUUUCUCUGUUAGGCACAGGGUCUUUGGGCUAAUUCCUAGGUCCACAGUGCACAAUUAUCAAGUUGGGUUUAUUCCAGGGAUGCAAGGUUGGUUCAACAUAUGGAAAUUAAUAAAUAUAACUAUCACAUCAAUAGACUUAAAGAUAAGAACCAUAUGAUUAUAUCAAUUGAUACAGAGAAAACAUUUGACAAAAUACAGCACCCUUACAUGUAUAAAACACUAGAAAAACUAGGGAUAAGUAAGAACAUAUCUUAACAUUGUAAAAACUAGCUAUGCUAAACCCAAGGCCAACAUCAUUUUAAAUGGAGAAAAAUUGGAAGCAUUUCUUCUCAAAACUGGAACAAGACAGGGAUGCCCUCUUUCUCCAUUUCUACUCAACAUAGUCCUUAAAACUCUAGCCAGAGCAAUUAGACAAAAGAAAAUGAAGGGAUACAAAUAGGAAAAGAAGAACUCAAACUAUCAUUAUUUGAUGAUGACAUGAUUUUAUAUUAUAGUGUCCAAAAAACUCUACCUGAAAAAUUCUAGAAUUAAUUAAUGAAUUCAUCAAAAUAGCAGGAUAUAAAAUCAAUACCCAUAAAUCAAAAGCAUUUCUAUGGAUCAGGGAUUUAUCCUCUGAAAGAGAAAUUAGGAAAACUACUCCUCAAUAGCCUCAAAAAAAUACUUGGGAAUCAAAUUAACAAAAAUGGUGAAAAACUUCUAUAAUGAAAACUACACAACACUAAAGAAAGAAAUUUAAAAAGACCAUAGAAAAUGGAAAGAUCUCCCAUGCUCUUGGAUAGGCAAAAUUAAUAUUGUCAAAAUGGCCAUACUACCCAAAGCGCUCUACAGAUUUAAUGUGAUUCCAAGAAAAAUAUCAGCAUCAUUCCUGUAGAAAUAGAAAAAGCAAUCAUGAAAUUCAUCUGGAAAAAUAAAAGACCCAGAAUAGCCAAAGCAAUCCUUAGCAAAAAGAGUGAAGCAGGAGGCAUCACAAUACCAAACCUUAAACUAUACUACAAAAUUAUAGUAACAAAACCUGCAUGGUAUUGACACCAAAAUAGACCUGUAGACCAGAGGUACAAAAUAGAGGACACAGAGAUAAACCCACAUAAAUACAGACAAAAGUGUCAAUACUAGACAAAAGUGUCAAAAACAUACAUUGAAGAAAAGAUAGCCUCUUCAACAAAUGGUGCUGGAACUUAAAAUCCAUAUGCACCAAAAUAAAAAUAAACUACUAUCUCUCAUUAUGCACAAAACUCAAAGUUAUCUAUUUCUUAAUAUUUUUUCCUUUUUUGCAUAUUUGACUCAUAAUGAGACAUCAUCUGUGCAGGGUCAAUCCUCACUAGACUCCAGAUCUGACUUUUUACUGAGAAUUGUUUUUUACCUCAGCACAUUUUCUACUAUCCUCUUAUUAGUAGUAUUCCAAAAAGGAAAGAUAGUAAUAAUUUAAAUCUUAAACCAUAAAGGUAUUGUUUUUGUGUGCAAAUACUAAAGCAAAAUCUAUGUCCUUAAAAGUAGCAUGUUGUUCAUUUUGAGGGAGCAUGAUUGGGUUAAGGAUUAAGAGACAAAGUUUAUAUAUGUUCUCUUCUAUGCUCAGUACAUGUUACUAUUAUGGAAAAUGAACUUACCUUACAGAUAUGGAAACAUCCAGAAAUUUGUAAAUUUUUAGUAAGAAUUACAUCAUAAAAAUAUCAAAGUGACAACAAUUGGACUUCCAAUUAGCAAUAGAAAAUCAAUUGAAAACAGUAAACUUUGGUUUGCUAGUUAAGAAUAUGUUCAGUACUCUUUGAGAUAAAAUGAUCUUAAGUCACAAUAAAUAGUAUUGUCUAUGGGCUUUUGCUGCUGAAGUCCAGAGACAAGGCCACAUCACUACAGAAACAUCCUGUUACAGAAGACCACAUGUAUGUUAAAAUAUAUAAUGUACAAAAAAAGGGGAGGAGGGCUUGACAUUGUUUUUGACUCCUCUCCUUUAUUUACAGUCGGUAUCCAGUUUAUCAGCAAGUCAGUUACACCCUCAAAGCAUUUCCAUAUAACUAGUUCCUAUUACCUCUACCACUGUCCAAACAACUGAUCUUUUGCAUGAGUUAUUUUAAUAGCAUCAUAAUCAGUCUCUCUGCUACUACUUGUGUGCCCACAAAUCAUCAUACCAAACUACAAUAAUCCUAAUUCAUAAUUCACUGUUUCAUUAAAUCAUAAUUCAUAAAUUCAUUUAAUUGAAUUAAGCAUUUUCCAUGAACUGGUCUAAUACCAAAGAAUUAAAACAGGUCAGAUCUCAUCAAAUUUUCUCAAAACCUUGUAGGGAGCUUCUCAGCUGUUUUAUGUUAAAAGCUAGAAUGCUUACAAGAUCAUGCAAAGCCAUACAUGACCUAGUCCCCUCCUGGCUCUAUUUGAUUGUCCUGCUUCUCCACCCUUCAUUCAUUCAGCUUCUAUUACUAGAGCAUUCUUACUGUUGCCCAGACAUGCCACUCAUUUCCAUCUUCAAGGCUUUGCACUGGCCAUUCCCUCCCUGGUACACUGGAUAAUAUCAUAGCUUGCCCCCUAAACUCUGGUCUUUUCUCUGAAUUCAUCUUCUCAAUGAGGUUUCCUUAGUCCACUUUAUAUAAGAUGGAAAACUCUUAUUUUACCUAAUAAACUUUCCCAUUUCUAUUCUUUCAUGGUUUAUUCAUCUAUUAUUCAUAUCACCAUCUAGCAUGUUCUAUUAAUUAUUUCUGCUAAUUAUCUCUUAUAUCUCUAAAAUAUAACGUCUGUAAGAGCAGAAAUUUUUGUCUAGAUUCUAUAUAGUGGCCUUUCCAGUCUUUAGAAUGGUACUUGACCUAAAGCUGACACAAAACGUAUUUGAAUGAAGGAAUGAAUGAAUUAGUAAUUGAAGAAUAGAGGAAAACCUAAGUGUAUGAUAAGAUUUUAUUUUAGUUCUUAUUUUUCUGCUGUGUUUAGAAAUUAUCUUUCAAGAAAUUUCUAUAAUGACAAACGUCAAACAGAAAAGGUACACAAGUCUACCUUCCUCUGUUAGAAUAGUAGGUUUUUAUUGCUGUUUUCAUUUGCCUUUAGGUAGGUCAUGGGUGCUCCUUUUCCUAUCCUCAUGUUUUACACCUGACUGAUUGACACACUUACUUUACGUGCCUGCCUGAUUUGGUAACUCUGCUAACAUCAUUUUAAAGGCUCCAUAGAGAAGUAUUACAGAGGCCAAAAUCAUAAUUCAUUAAUUCAUUUAAUUGAGCACUUUUCAUCAAAUGUUCUAAUGACAAAGAAUCAAAAAUGAAAAAUUCCUUCUUAAUAAGAAAUGUAUUGGGGUCACUGAAAGUUUGGGUCUUAUACUCAGCUGACCUCUUUGGUACAAACAGUCUUUCUUUUAUUUCCAGGAAGAGUACAUUUCAGAGAUACCAUCAUACUAACAUAAUCACUGGAUAUUUACUUCCUUUCUUCACAUUCUCAUGUCUCAGGCUUUCCUCCAGAAUAGUCCUUCUACCAUUCCAUUUUCAUUAAACAGUAGAUUUAUCCCUGACAAUUGCUGCUUCAGUCAAAAUCCUCUGUCUGUUUUUUCAGGCCUCACCAAGCUUUGCCUUCAGGCCCCAUAGUGGGAGCUACCCUCCCUACAGCCAGUGCAUUCUAGUUUUCUGCAGAGAUUGGCAUUCAGUGAGAAACCCCAAAACCAUCCCCUGCUUUGGCCCAGCUAUGCUUAAACGUAGCAUCCAUAUUCCUAGCCCACAGGCUUCCAUGUGAAGGUCUCCUUCUCCAGGCCCUUGGCUAAGGCACUUUACUCUGUACCUUUCCACUCUUGGAAAUUCUCUCUCGAGUCCGUAGUUUAUUUGGGGCUCCUUAGCAAUGAGAUCAUUUUCCUUGUAUGUGAUGUAUCUCUUCAUCCUCACACAGUGCUGUUCUGUAAGAGAAAUGAACACUGGGAAUCUGGCACUUUUGUUCCUCUUUUAAUUAAUUAAUUAAUUAAUUUUUGUAUUUACUGCAUACUUAUGCAGUAAAUAAAGUCUUGAUUCUGACUUUUAAUUUGGUUUGUUGUCUUCAUUUAUUACCUUGAUAUCUCACCGAUUAUUUCAAUGCUGUCUAUAUCAAAGAAGGUUAUAGAGAAACAAAUUGAUUGUUAAUCCUGUGUCUCCCCAUAUCUUCCUACUUUCUCUGACUUAAUAUCAUGGAAACAGUUGAAGGCAGAGCAUUCUUUUGAUUCUUGUAUGUCAUUUUGAGAUUAUGACUUCUAUUUGAUAAUCUUUACCACUAGUAAAGUUAAUUGCAUCCACUAGAAGUCAAUUUCUUGUUGUACCUAGAAUGGCACCUAGGAUCCUUUUUAUGCACAAUAAUGCCCCAGAUAUCAGACAUUCACUUCUUCUUUAACCUUACCUCCUAUCAGUCUCUGCUUCAUUCAUUGCAUUUCAGCCAGGUGGCUUGUCUUUUUCUUAAGCAUAUCAACUCAUCCCUAUCUCAGAGAUUUUAUACAUAUUUAAGCUCUGCCUAGAAUGUUUUCCCAGGAUCUCAGCAAGUCUAGCUCCUUCUAGUGUCUCAGCCCAAAUGCCACCUCUUUAAGUUAUUCCUUUACUGGUGUGUCCUUCACCCAGCCACUCUUCACUUCAUUACUUUCCUUUCUUUUUAUAUCAGUUAUCACUACCUUCAAAUAUUUUGUUCAUGUAUUUACUUGUUUAUUUAUAAAGUAUAAGCUAUUGCUUAGCACAUAUUUCAGUGUUUAGGACAGUACCUCUGUAUUAGUCAGCUUUUUCACUGCUCUAACUAAAAGACCUGAGAAGAACAACUUUAGAGGAGGAGAAGUUUUUUGGGGGGCUCACAGUUUCAGAGGUCUCUAUCCAUAGACAGCUCUCUCUUUCUCAGAGCUCAAGAUGUGGCUAAACAUCAUGUGGCAGAAAAAAGCAGCUCACAUGAUGAUCAGGAAGCAGAGAGACAGAAACUCCACUCACCAGUUAUAAAAUAUAUACUCCAAAGUUAUGACCUAAUGCCCAUCUCCUCCAAUCAUACCCUACUGAUCUUCAGUUACCAGUUAAUGCCAUUAGGUAAUUAAUUCACUCAUUGAGUUAAGACUCUCAUAACCCAACCAUUUAUCCUCUAAAACUUCUUGUACUGUCUCACACAUGAGCUUUUGGGCGACACCUCACAUCCAUACUAUAACAAUGUAUUAUUCAAAUAAAUAAUAAAUCUGCUUUCUUAUUCUUCUAGCCAACAUCCACCUACUGGUGGGUCCCUCAUUGUGUUUCUAUUGUUUUGAGGAUAUGUCCAGGUCACAUUAAUGUCCUAUUCAUGCCCUAUUGUACAGUUUCUCAUAUUUUCUGAAAUGUAUUUCACCAUUAUUCCAGCUCAGUGAGUGAUUCUCAAAGCCAUAAUUUGUCAUCAUCUCAAACUUCUAAUAUCCUCCUCUCUUAGACCACAAUUACCUAUCUUUAUAUCACACUCUUUUCUAAUUCUUUCUGAAUUUUUCCUUGAAGGUCUUAUUGAUUUAUAUAAAACCCUUGAAUCCUUUUUUCUUAUACUUCUGACAAAUCUUCUAAAUUUCAUUUUCUCGCUUAUCUGCUUAUGAUCUAAAUAACUAACUAAUGACUAAGCAUUUCAAUGAACUCUCACAAGCUUUUUAAAAACUCCUUUGUGAAGAAUGAAAUUAUGGCAUUUGCAGGUAAAUGGAUGGAGCUGGAUAAAAUCAUGCUAAGCAAAAUAAGCCAAACCCAAAAAACCAAGGACCGAAUGUUUUCUCUGAUAAGUGGAUGCUGAUACAUAAUGGGAUGGAGGGCUGGCAGGGAAGAAUGAAGGAACUUUGGAUUGUGCAGAGGGGAGCGAGAGGAGGGAAGGGAUGUGGAGAUGGGAAGGACACUGGAAUGAGACAAACAUGUAUGAUUACACUACCGGUGUGACUCUGCACCAUGUUCAGCCAGAAAAAUGAGAAGUUGUGCUUCAUUUGUGUAUAAUGUGUCAAAAUGCAUUCUACUAUCUUGUAUAACUAAUUGGAAUGAAUAUUUAAAAAAAACCUUUGUUAUACAAUCAUAUACUUGGACUUAGAGUAGUAUAAUAGAUGUCACAAUGAUAAAGUUCUUUUCCUCUUGUACUGUUCCAGGUUUGAAAGCAAAACUAAAACAUCAAUUUUUCUUCAUAAUUCUUUGAUUUCCCCAUAAUGUCUAAUGCAUUUUUUCUCAUUCUUCAAAACAAAUUCUCCUCUUUCCUUAAAUCUCCAGGUGCAUCUUACCUAACUCCAACUGAACAUAAGAUCACAUAUUUUCUAUUAAGGAAAAAAAGACAAUGAAGUAGACAUUGAUUAUUUCAAUUCUGUACUCUUUACUUUGAAACACAAACUACAGCACUUCCUGCUCUCUUUUCUUCAAAUCUCUCUCAGAGUGUGAAGUAUAUGUUAUUUAUGUUCAGUACCUAGUACACAUUCCAAUAGGCAUUCAAUAUAUGUUGACUGAAAAAGUGGAACAGCUGAUGGGCAGUUCAGAUUUAUUAGUAGAAAUUGGUAGAAUAUUCUGAAGACAAAUGCACACGUGAUAUAUAUAUAUAUAUAUAUAUAUAUAUAUAUACAUAUAUUCAUUCUAGACUAAAACAAAGCUAAAUAAAUAAAUGAUUUUGACAUAAUAGAAUUAGUAGGACAUUUAAUUUGCUGUUACACUUGCUUAAACAUGACUACAUGGUCCCUGAUACCAUGUUGGUAUUGGGGUUAGGGGACCCAGUUUUCUAAUCUUGACUUGGUUACUAACUGGCAUUGGCUCUCUAGACUUUAAUAACGAGCUUAAAAUGAGGGCCUUGAUUGUCUCUAAUUUCCCUGGCUAUAAAAAUGUGUCAUUAUUACUUUCUUGUCAGUGUGGCAAAUUGACAGCUGAUGUGAGGAUUUUGUUAUAAGACAAGUGAACAAAAUGACGGGGAAAAAUGUCAGAAGUAAGAUUCUGGGAGAAGAGAAAGCACCAAGGAUAUACUGAUGCUGGGGCACUGAGUUUACUGUAUUGAUUUGUCUGGGCCAGACCAUAGUGGAAGACAUGAAAACUUGAGGUCUCAACAUCAUUCUUAUUACUUAUUUCUUGGAGCAAUACAGUCAACAGUAGAGAGGUGGAUUUAGAUAGAAAUGUGUAUUUGAAAGAUUUUACACAGAAUACAAAACAUAUACUUUUACUUUUUAUAUUUAUUUAUUGAUUGAUUGGUAAUGAGAGAGGAAACCAAGGAUACUUUACCACUAAGCCACAUCCCCAGUUCUUUUUAUUUUUCACUUUGAAGCAUGGUCUCACUAGGUUCCUGAGGCUGGCCUUGAGCUUGUGCUCCUGUUCGCUCAGCCUCUCAAAUCUCUGGGAUGAUAGGUGUGCACCACCACAUGAGGUCAUACUUUUCCUUUUGAGGUCAAGAGAAGACAUGAAAGGAUUUUACAAAAUGAUGUAACAUUUCCUUUUAGGUAUCACAGUUUGACGAUGAUAAUUGUAGGGAUACCACUGAAUUUUCCAGAGUUCUAAAGUGGACUGAAUAAUAAUGCAAAAUUUAUAUUGUAAGUGUGUAUCUUCUUAAUUUGUUAUACUUAAUCACUACUUAUGGACAAAAUCAUGAGGAAAGAUCUAAAGAUGAAUGUAGUCAUUAUCCUCUAUUUUUCUGAGACUAUUACUUGGUAUUCUUACACAUACAGACUGAAAACCAUGAUUUUAAUUAUUACUUGAGAAAUUUUUUACAUUUUGCAUUUGUCACUUAGUCUGUCCUGAUACUUUAUUAAGCCCAAGAUAAACAUGAUAAUGCAGAAUGCUUAGUGCCUUAGUGGGCAAAGAAAAAGAGCAUGUUGGGGAUGUUGCCCUAAACUGGAUUUGUUGGUUCUGAACAUUUUGUGAGACUAAAAGUGUAAGCUCCAUUCCCAGAUGGGUUAGUCUGUUUUAGAAGGAUAAAAUUCCACAUUGGGCAUAUAGACACAAAAGCUGAUACUUGCCUUUCCACAACAAAAAUUGAGCAAGGGUAUUUCCACAGGGAGGAAAGGCAUGUCUUAUGAACAUGGCAGCAUCCUAUUUACCAAAAAAAGAAGAAAGAAAUGUUUGUAUGUUCCCUCACCAAUUAUCAGGUUGGUUUGUGACAUUAUUGGUUAUUGAAAAUGAUUAUUCUUUGGAAGUAAGGAUAAGAGAAAUGAGUCAUAUCACAAUGGAAGAUAGGCAGAUACUUAAUAAAUUAUUUUACUCUUUAACAAUUGAUAGCCAUUUUUAUUGCACUUAGUUUAAAUUUACUUAGUGACCACAUAGUGCCUGACAGCUUGCAAAUGGCAUAUGUCCUACCCUUACAUGCAAAUGGUCAUAUUUGGACAGAUAGGAAGCCAGAUGUUUCACAUACUUACAAAAUUCACUUAAAGUAAAUAGUACAUAGAUGGAUUACAGCUCUAGUCAACUUUGGAUGGCCAAAAGUGGUAAAAAGAAAAAUAGAUGCUGUUAAAAGGGGGAGAAAGCUAUUCAUCAGCCUUUAACUUUUCUGUAAUACUACUGAAAGUGAGGUAACAUGGAUUUAUCCAUUGUUUACUUGAAGUAACUUUUGUGUCACUAUGCUGAAAUAUUCCUAUCAAAUAUCCAUGAGCUAUGUAUUUUAAGACACCUGUAAAAUUACUAAGUCCUUCUCCUUCAGCCCCAUGUUAUGUGAAACAUGAAACAAAAACAAAAACAAUUUCCAGUUGCUUUUUUUCCCCAGCAAAUAAGAACAUCUAUUUUCAUACCUGAAUAUUCAGUUGUAAUGUGUGUAAUUUUGUAGUCCUGCUGCAAAGAAUAUUUUUCCUCUUUGUACAAAGACAUAACAGAUGCAGUUAGAGGAUAUUAUAUUGUCAUAUGCAUCAGAGGAAUAGAGUUGGUAUUAAAUCUUUCACGUGGCACUCAGGCACCAAGGCAUCAAAAAAGGAAAUGGCAUUCCUCAGAACCCCUUUUCACCCUUCAACCCUAGGGGGUCUUGUUAUAUCUGAAGAUGGUAUUUGUAAAAGUCAAGUGCAGAAUGGGCUAUAAAUUGUCUGAGGAGCUGUGGAGAAGGAAGGGGCUCUCAUCAUGUCUAAAGGAGUACCUUCUCAAGGACCAAGUAAAGUGCUGAUUUUACAUGCUUUGUUGAUUCUCCAGGUACUGUGAAUAUGGGAAGGGGAGGUUUGAUUGAUGAGACAGCCCAUUUAAGAUUGCAGACAAUAGUAGGUGAUGGUGUUGAAUAACAAUGGCCAGAGAACAGCUCAUGCACCAUUACUUACAAAUCUUGAUUAAAAAUAAGACACCUACAAACAACUCUGAGAUUUAGAAGUACCACUGUCCUUGUUUUAUCAGCAACUUGGAGCAGCUUCUGUAGGGUCAUCAACUGCCAGUCUUCAUUGUAUUAAUAUUCUGGGUUUCAUAUUCAUUCAGAUGAAAAAGUAAUGAAUUUCAAAACAAUGUAAUCAUAUUACAAUGCUACUAAACCUACCUUCUCAGACACCCCCCUGUGCUUUGGAUAAUGCUUUGUAUCAUUCAACAAGACAUGUUUUUUUUUUUUUUUUUUUUUUUAAUGCUGCAUUAGAUUAAAAAAAAAGCCAGAGAGAAAUACUAAUGCCUGUAGAACUACUCUGAUGGAUGUUUUUCAAGCCCUACAGUAUACUCUCCUUGAACAGAAUUUUCUUCUCUGUAAAUGGGAAAAAGAAGCUUAGUUGAAAGAAAAUUAACUUGAGUUUUCCUCACUUUUAACCUACACAGGUCCCAAAAUGUAUUUUUAAAUUGAUUAAGCACCUACUAUUUCAGUUUUAUAUAUUCAUUUAACAACUAUCUGUUAAAUGUCACACAUUUAACAAUGAACUAAUGAUAUAGCAGUAACAGGUAGAAAGUCUUCCUUUCUUCGUGGAACUUACCUUCUAUUUGUGGGGGCUGUUGUGUUAGUCAGUUUUCUGCCACAGUAACAAUACAUGAUAAAAACAACUAAAGUGAGGAAGGAUUUAUUUUGACUCAUGGUUUUAGAGAUUUCAUUCCAUGAUUGGUUGGCCUUGUGGGGAGGCAGAACAUCACAGCAUGGAACAUAUAACAGAACAGAGCUGCUUGCCUCAUGGCAGUUGGAAAACAGAGGGAGAAAGUGAGGAAGGGGCUAGAAGCAUGCCUACAUUGAUGUUUCCUCCACCUAGGCCCCACCUCCUAGAGUUUCCAUGACCUCCCAAUAAUGCCAUCCAAUUAUGAAUCCAUCAGUGGAUUAAUACAGUGAUGAGGUUACAGUCCUCAUGAUCUAAUCAUAUUCCCAAAGCCCCACCUCUGAACAUUCCUGCAUUUGGUCUCAAGAUUUCAGUGCAUGAAUCUCUUGGACAUUUUCCAGAUGCAAACCUUACAGCGUCAAAUAGAACACAUAAAUAAAUAAAAACAAAUACAAUAAUAAAUAAAGAUAUAUAGAUAUGCAUGUAUAUGUAUAUAUUCAUCAAUCAAUAAAUAAAGACAAAUAUAAGCCAGGAGUGGUAGCACAUGCCUCUAAUCUCAGUGGCUUGGGAGGCUGAAGCAGAAGGAUCACAAGUUCAAAGCCAAUGUCAAAAAGAGGUGCUAAACAACUCAGUGAGACCCUGUCUCUAAAUAAAAUACAAAAUAGGGCUAGGGAUGUGGCUCAGUGGUAAAGUGCAUCUGAGUUCAAUCCCCAGUCCCUACCCCCACCAAAAAGACAAAUACUGAUAGAAAUACUAACUAUAAUGGAACCAAACAUUUAUUGAACAUUUAUCACAUGCAAAAAUGUACUAGAUGCUCUCAAAAACAAAAAUCAAUAACCAAGUAUUUGUCCUCAGGUAGCUUAUAGAAGUGUAGGAAAAUACAAAUCAUCACUUUGUUCAUGUUAAAAUAUUGUGCACACAAUUAGUUUUGUGGUUUUAUCUCCAAGUUUAGUUCUUCCUGUCUGAGUUUAUAUGUAGUAUUACCAUAAUAGUAAGUAUGGGGAGACAAGAUGAAGAUGGAAGUGAGAUGCAGUAUCUUCAUUCAAUAAAGUGUUCAAAGAAAGUAAAGAAAGAAAGAAAAAGAGAAAGAGGGAAGGAGGAGGGAGGGAAGGAAGGAAGAAAGGGAAAAGAAAAGAGAGAAAGAAAGGAAGGAAGAAAGAAAAAGAGAAAGGGACAGUAUUGAAGAAAAACAGGAUAAUUACUAUCUUGAAGGAUGUGGCAGGUAAUAAGUUCAGUUAGGACACAUUUUGUAGAGGGUAAUCAGACUAUUUGUGACUUUACCUUUUCUAUGUGACAUAUAGGAUCUUUUCUUAAAUGAUCUACUUUCUUCAUAUAGGCAUCACCCUUAAAGUUUCCAUCACUUCCCAAUAACACCAUUGAAUUAUGGGAAUUGGGUAGGAUACUUGAAUAGGAUAUCAAAUACAUGGAGCCUCUGAAGGGUGUAGGAGAGAGUAAUAAAAGUCAAAACUUUUUUUGUAGUGCUGAUUAUCAAACUUGGCCUUUCUCAUGUUAGGCAAGCAUUCUACCAACUGAGCUAUACAUAUUCUCAGGCAGAAAAGUUAAAGAUUUAAGGUAGUUGAGAACUUUGACUACUAUGUGUUUGUAGGGACAUUAAAAGACCUGUUUGAUUGAUUUAUCUUCACCAAUCUUAAGCAGCCUAGAGGUUGAAAAGAAUAAGGCUGGGUAAUGAGGGAAAGAAACAAUGGAAAUACUAGGGCUAAAGUAAUUAAAGGUAUUGGUGAGAGCAAGAUUGAGGUAAUAUCCAGGGAUUGGAUUCUAGUUAGGGAAAUGAGAGAACCAAGAGGUGGCUGAUAAUCUGGAAGAAAAUGGAACCCUUGAAGAACCUUUGCCUCUCUGAAGUUAAAGAGUAGUUAUGGAUAGAGUGAAGGCAUGAGGAACAUGAUGGACAAGAGUCUGAGAUCAGAAAGCAGGGAUUUGCAUGUAAGGUUUCUGAUUUGAAAUAGUUCUUUUUUCUGGUUGAUGAUGAGGAUUAGGAGAAGGAAAGUGUAUAGCUAAAGUGGUACUUGAAGAAAAUUUUUAGAGUUAAAUAAAUGACUCUCCAAGGCAGAUAGGUUAAGGUCCUCAGAAUAGGGAAAGAGGAAAAGGCACCAUGACAUUCUGAAAGGAGACAGUGGGCCAUGAGAAUAUCCGGUUGCUACCCCUGAUAGCUGCAACCAUGAUGGCUCUUCCUUAGUUACCUUUACCUGUUGCAACGGCCACCCACAAAAAUCUACCCUUACAUGAAGGGUGGCUUCUCCCUGACAGAUGUGCAAAAGCACAAAGUUGGACCCAUUCUCUUAAUUACAUAAAUAAGGGAUUGAAUUUACACACCUCUGAUUGGCUCAUUAAACUCAGAGCUUGAAGAGUUUAAUUAGUCCAGACUAGCAUCCCUCAUUAACAAAGUCUCCACCUAUCACCUGUGCUAGGCCAUUAGGUAUGUCUUUAAAAACCCUCAGGCAAAGAAUAGCCAACAGCACCCUCCCAUGGGACCCCUCCUGUUCUAUUGGAGCCUUUUUUCUAUGCUUUAAAUAAAUCUUACUUCUCUACCCUCUGCUUGUCCUUGGAAAUCUUUCUUUGAAUUGGCAAGACAAAGAACCCAACCCGCCUAUUACAGAAUUAAUUGCUGUAUCUUAGGGGAAAGAGUAGUUACUACCAGGAUGGCUAGCAAAGAGGAGGGAGAUUAUUGAACUCAUUGAUUUUAAGCUGUGGUUGCCAAAUAACCCUAGUGGUACACACCCUUGUAGAAUUCUCCUCCUAAGCUGUAGCUUGGACCUUUAACUUGCUUCUAACCAACAGAAUAUAUAAGUGAUAGGAUAUCAUGCCUAUAAAUCCAUUGUUGUUAUGUGAUAUAGGUGAAGGAUUUUGCAUAUAUAAUUGUUACUUAAUUAGUUUAAAGUAUAAUAAUGGGCCUAUUCUGGAUUGAGCCUGAUGUUGUUAGGUGAAGCAUUAAAAGAGGGUCUAAAGGUCAGAGAUGGGUGAAGUCAGAGAAAUGCUCUCCUGUACCCUUUAAGGACACAGAAGCCAUGUUUUGAAUUUUCAGUAGAGGAGAUAGCUUUGAGGAACUGAGGGCCUAUUUCUAUAACACAGGAAUGAAUUCUUCCAACCACCACAUGAGUUCCGAAAAGGAUCUCAUGCCACAACAAGACUCCAAUCCUGACUGACACCUUGAUUGCAGAUUUAUAAGAUCUUGAGCACAGGACCCAGUUAACCCAUGCCCCAGUUCUUGAUCUAUGGACACUGUGAGGUAAUAAACGUAAGCGGUUAUGCAGUAAUAGAGAACUAAUUAGGUAUAUUAAAUAGACCACCUUAUGUUAACAGAUUGAAAUGUGCUCAUAAAUCUUGUGUAAAAUUCUACUAAGAAAACUUUUCCAAUACUUCAUUUUUCUAUAAAACUUUUAUUCACAGGAACAAAUAUGAGAUGGUUUCUCAAUUAAGACUGUAGAUUAGAGCAUGAGAAGCAAGCUGUGCAGUAGAUAGAUAUAGAACAAUGGGACGGAUCUCAGUCAUACUUCUCAUCACUCCUACUCCUCCUUAGUCAACUUGUCUGCAUGAGCAGAAACAAAAGGAACAGGUGCGUCCAGCUGGAGGAACUGAAGCUGCUGACAAUCAACACCUCAGGAAAGAAAGCGGCUAAGAGAGGGUAAAAGAUGUGAAGUUUAUGGAAGAAGCUGAGACGAAGAAUGGAAAAGAAGAAGAGGGAAGACAGGGACAAGGGAAAGGGAGGAGAGAUUCAGCUCAGUGGCUGCUUUGACAGACGCAUAUAAUUUCAUGAUGGCUUCAGGCAUGCACCUUCUCCCCUAAAAUAAAUUAUCUUUCCAGCCAGUGUGGGAGAGGUUGCCUUACCAGCCAGCAGUGAUAGUAAAGGUUCUUUUGCAUUGUGAAUUCCUCCCCACAGGGUAAUCAUUGGAUAUUCCAGGACACCAAGUAGGUCUGUAUAUAAACAUCUUCUAUUUUCUUUGAUUGUAUCAAUGGCUUUCAUUAUAAACAAGCAAGAAAAGUCUUAAUGUCUGUUGGCUUUACUACAAAAAUGAAUAGCCAUGAAGGAAGAAAACAUUAACUGUUGAAGUAUAAGAACAUUUAAUAAUGUAUGGAUUCAUAUCAAUUCUACUCACAUAAAAAUCACUUAGUAUUUCAGUUUUCUUCUAAAAGUUUACUUUGGAACCAGAAUGCAGAACCUUCUGAAAUUACUAAGUGGGGUUUCAGACUAAAUUAGUAAUUAUACAUUCGGGCAUGGAUAAACAUUUGUUAAACACACCACAGAGCACUUUAAAGUAUGUGGUGAUUCAAUAGGCUAUAGGAAUAUAGUGGAGUCUUUGAUUCAUUAUUUAAAGAAUCAUGCUUGAGCUCCUGAUAUACAGUGAUUUUUCAAUGGUAUCCAUUAUAUUUUCUGAUGUGGCUCAUGGUUAUGGGAAGAAGAAAGAUGGAGUUGAUCAUCAAUUAAAACAAUCUUUAUUAAUCUUUAUUAUGUUAAAAACAAUCUUUAUUGGAGUCAAAAUAGUCUGGGGAGUCACACAGAAAAAGUAAAAAUCAGGACAAUAGCCAAUAUGAACAUUUCAUCAUGCAUAUUGCUUGAGAGUAAUUUGUGUAUUAAAGACACUAUUUUAAAAUCACAGCCCAUUCAUUCAUUCAACAAAUGUUAUAUAUGUGGACACAGAUGGAUAUUUUUAUUCAGAGUGAUCUUGAUGCAUCUUUGAAUCAGAGAUAAAUCAAAUCCUUCUCUUUCCACUUAUAAAAGUUAUUUGACUAAUCACAUUAUAAUGGCUUUGUCAAAGACCUUUACCUAGGUGAGAAUUCAAUUAAUGUAGGGUAGUCAGAAUUAAUCACUAAUACUUUCAUAGCCUGUGUAUCUAUCUCUAUGGUAAGAGUAGGCAGAAAGGAGAUUUAGUGGACCAACAAGUUAAAAGUACUACUUUUGUCUGCAGUUUGUAAAAUGCAGGAGUUUGGUGUUCAGAUAUGUAUGAUUUGGACUGAGCAAAAGUAGAUAGGCAGAAUUUCAAAGGAUCAUACUUUAUAAAGGUACAUGAGGUGAUUUAAAUACAAUAUAUUAAGUAAAUGAAGAACUAGUAGUAAAAGAAAAAUUCCUGAGAUAGGAUUAGGAAAAAAUUGUCAUGGCUAAUAAGACUCUGGUAGGAAAUAGGAAUAAGUAUCUGGGGAGAGACAGCUUGUCCAAAAUAAGACCAAACAUUAAUUGUGGAAAUGACUCAGUAAUCGCUAGUCCUGCCUCUGAGAUCAGUGAUUUUCAGAGUACAAUUGGGGAAAAUACAUCUUUACCACCAUUAGUGGCAUUUUCCUGCCUUUACAAAGUUUUAGACUAGAGAACACAUCUCCCUUGUUCUAUAUCUAUAUAUAAAUACAUAUGCAUAUAUAUGCAUGUGUGUAUAUAUAUAGUGCUAUCUCCAAGUACUAAUUCUCAAUUUAACUUUAGAAUAGUUUUUCACUAAACGGAAAAUGACUUUUAAAGAACAAUAUAGCUCCAAUUUUCUUUAGAAUAGAAAAAUCCAAAUCCCUUUAGACUUUUCUACAAACUGUUAUUUUCCCUACCCUUUAAUCAUUUCUCUUGUUUUCCUCUCUGGACUACAUCCAUUUUCCAGACACCUCUUUUAACACACUGAAAUUAAAAUGGUAAAAUGUUCUGUUAAGGUCCUGGCCAGUUUUGAAUAGCAUCUAUGUUUCUAUGUCUCAUUAACACUUCAGAGUUAUUGACAGUGAGUCCUUUCAUGCUCAAGUACAGCCUGGCUGAGCCCUCUUAAAACAGAAUAGUACAAGUAAUAACUCUAUAUCUGUGCUUGCUGACCAAAGGAAGCUGCUGUGGUUUCUUAGAGAGUUUCUGGCUCGCUCUAGACAUUUCCAAUAUAGCAGCUCAUAAGCAAAGUGCUUUUAGCAGUGUUUAUUUAUAGGAUCUUCUUCAGUGAAGUGACAUGAGUCUCAAAAAUGCUGUUCAAAUCACUGCAUGAUGAACUGCACAUUAAAUGAUCUUAUGAUACUUUGGAUAUUAACUCCAAAGAAUCAAUUUAGACACAUAUGUCUCCUUUCUCCAAACAAUGGAUAAAUCAAAUAAUGAUUGUUUGACUUCACAGGAUUUGGAGCUGAUCUACAAUGUGAUUCUGUGUCCUGUAGAUACAGUCAUCAGCUAGAAAUUUCUCAGGCAAAGUAAUUAAGCUGCAUAGGACUACAGCAUUCAUAGCCUAAAGGGGAAAUGGAUCCCAAUUUAAGAGCCCAUACAUGUUAAUUUGUAUUUAUCCCUAAUGGUCAUCUGCAUGCAUUACAUAUUGCCACAUAUUAGAAAGCCAUAAGUUGUUUAUAUUCCUUUAAGAUGUUUGACAGGGGAAUUGAAAAUAAUCCUUGAUUUAAAUAUUGCAUAAGUAUUAAGUGUUUUCAAAGGGUGAUUACAGAUGGGAUUUGUAUCCAAGCCAUUUUCCCCCAACAAGUUCUCAGCUACAGGCCACUUAAGUGCAGUUAAUUCAUUAGAACUCGAAGAACUUGAGUUAAAUACAUUAGUGAUGAACUGUUCAUCUGUAAUAAGGCUGACUCGUGCUGGUAAUUUCUUGCAUAGUUAUUAUUUAGUACGUAUUCCAGAGUUCUGAAAGAAAGAGAAGAAAACAAUGAGAAAUUUAGCUUUACUUUUUGAGUCUGGUUUUGAGAAUAUUCUUUCUGUGUCACUGGCUUAAUUUGAGCAUUCCAGUGUUAACAAUUCAGAAACAGGUCAGAAAAGAGACUCAGUGCAUUUGUAUCAUACUAGAUCACCCAGGGAAGGCUGGAAGGGAAGACCAGAGAGAUUUAUGAAACAGUAUUAAAGGAUGAGUGGGGUUAUUCUUAAAGUCUCCAAGUCUUCAACUCUACACCUUAAAAUUGUCUGUUUGCAAUAUAGCAUCCCUCCUUAGAGCUCGGAACCCACCAGUGGUCCCUUAUUCCCUGAGCAAAUGAAUUAAUUUGGCAGUUGCUGUUCCUCUCCCCAGACCAUCCCUAUGUUAUAAUUAUCAGUUUUCUCCUUCCUAGUUUGGAAUAAAAUAACUCUAUCACUUUCUGCAUUUAAUCAAAGAAGUUGUCAGCACUUGAUGGCCUUUAACAUAUGCUCCCAUUUGUCCUAUUUACCUCCCCAGUCCCCGCCACUUGUCUUCUGUCCUACUCAGUGGACAAAAUCUCUUCUCCCCUCUUUCUGUGCACUAGCUUAGAAAUUUAGUAUUUCCAAGGUAAAGCCUCCAAAUCUUAUUGUUCCUUCUUAGGUGAUGUACUUCCAAACCUUAUGUAACAAAUAAUAGACCCAGUGGAAAUCCCUUUGUAGAAAGCUUAUAGUUGUUCAGAACAUACUAGUUGAAUGAUAAAAUCUGUCAUCUUUGUAUUUUGGGGAAAAAAAAACUGUCAUCUUUGUACCUGGGUUUAGUGGAUGGAUCUUUGGAGAUAAAUAAUGCUUGGUUUUAAUGCCAGCUCUAAAAAUCAUUAGCUGUGUGACCUUGGAUUAAACCAAGGUUAUUUUGAACUUUAAUCUACUUUUUAAAUGGGGCUAUCAAUUUCAAAAUGAAGUAUUUGUCAGUUCAGUGAAUAAGACUCUCAAGUCAGUAUAAGGAUUGGAAAUGAUAUCUGUUAAAAACAAAGCCUUGAUGAAUACAUGGCAGCUAUUAUUACUAUAUUCUCCCCCAUUUACAAUGGUUCGAUUUAUGUCUUUUAAUCCAGUAGUGUGAAAAUGAUAUGCAUUUAGCAUAAACUAUACUUUGAAUUUUGAUCUUUUACCACACUAGCAAUAUACAAUAUGAUGCUCUCAUGCAUGUUGUCCAACAAUAGCCUGAUAUAAGUGUUCUGAACAUGUUUAAGGCAGGCUAGGUUGGGUAUGAUGUCAUUAAACAAAUUAAGUGCAUUUUAAACAAUGAUAUUUUCAGUUUACCAUGGAUGUAUCAGAAUAUAAUCCCAUUGCAAUUUGAGGAUCAUCUAUAUUAGGACACAGAGAUAGGGAAAUUUGGCCACACAGGGUUGUUUUUUUAGCUGUUAUUGUUGUUUUAUUUAUUUAUUUGUUGGUUGGUUGGUUGUUUUGAUACUGAGGAUUCAACUCUGGGAUACUAUCACUGAGCUAUAUACCCAGACCUUUUUAUUUUAGAAUUGGGUUUCAUCAAGUUUCUCAGGCUGAUCUUGAACGUGUUAUCCUUCUGCCUCAGCCUCCUGAGUGACUGGGAGUACAGGCAUGCACCACGUCCAGUGAUGGGUCAUUUUAAUGAGAACCCAGGGUAGCACUUGGGAAGACCAACUGUAGAUGUAAUGAGGUUGACUGGCCCUAAGAAAAAUUUAAGUUUGCUGUGUUUGAUUCAUGUCAUCUAAAAUAACUAAACACUCAGCUUAUCUCUGGUGAUAAGAGUUAGUGUAAAGCCACAGGGAAGGAAGGAAGGAGGGCAGUCAUUCUCCUCUGUGGUGCCAGAAAGCAUCAUGGAGAAUUGGAACUUUGUGACACUCUGAUGUAUCAUCUCUCCACAGAGCUCCCUCUGUCUCUCUCCUGACUCUGUUCCCAGCUCCACUUUUACUCUGAAGUUACCAAAUGCUCUGCAGCAUAUUCCUUUAUUCCUCAGACUCUCUUUCUGAAUCAUGCCUUUCUUUGGCAUUCUUUCAUCUAUCCUUCUCUGUGUCUCAGAAUUAACUAAUAAAAUUAGACCCUGUCUUAUAGAAAGUUUAGUCGUAGUACAGUAUUGACCAUCCCUAUGGAGUAGUCUUCUCCUGCCAAGCCCCUCAGAGAUGCCUGUGCAUCCCCUGUGGGUGAUUGCUAAUGACUGAAUUUUAGCCUCUAGAAUAAACUUUGGUGGUCAGCCUGGCAAAGUCAAAGGGCCCGAAGUAAAGCAGUAUGUGUCAGGAAUCACUUUGAAUUAUUUGGCCUGGGAGACACUAUUGUGUUCACACUGCUUGGAGAUUGUGUCAAAGAUACUGUGACACUCUGGGUACCCAUUGGCCUACUGAUCUCUCAGGGCAGUUUCUAUUGAGGAAGGAGAUUUUAUUAUGAAUAACUUUAUAACAACACUAAGCCUUAUCUACCUUAUAGAUAAAUCAUCUAUCAAGAUAGUUUAGACCAUGUCACACUUGUUUACUAAGUUCUUAAACUUUAAGACUCUCUUCGCUAUCAUGGCUGAAUUAUUAUAAACAUAUUAAGCUUAAAGGUAAGACAUAUUUUUUCUGAAAGAGUGGCAUCCAGUACCUAAUCUGGACAGUCAAAGGGAAGAGAAGAGGUUGAGUGCUUCAGAGUGUGUUGUCUCUCACAUUGUGUUUGAGCCUUGCCCUUAAGGAAUAAACUGUCAUUACCCUAAAAAAGAAGGUGCUGAAACACAGCAGGCAAAUAAAAGAAUAACAUUCUUAGAGACCCGGUUAUAGAAACUAAAAAUGUAAAAACAUUUCUUCUCAUGACCAUAAUGUCAGACUGUAGCAUGGGUGAGGAGGAGGAUGGUUUUUCCAGCUCAGCACAAUGAGAAUUAAUACUCAAUUAGAGAAUAUCACUAUUGACUGUACAUAGCAUUCAGA